ensembl:lncRNA novel transcript, antisense to RPTOR
GCAUAAUGUUUCUUCUGCCGGUUGAAGGUGAAACCCCAAAGCCACCCAGGCCAUCGGCAACAGCAGGGCGAGUUCUAGCUGUGUGGCUGGUGGAGCCCACAGGUGUGCCCAGUGGCCAGCGGUGACGGCACGGGGGCCCACCCUGUGCACCCCACUGGAGGAGCCCUGCCCUUCACCACUCCUGGCCUGGUUCUUCUUCAGUCUUCAUCCCUGAUGUCCGUCAAACCCAACCAUGGGGACACAGUGACACCCGGCAGAAGGGUGCCAGGGACCAGGAGGAGGCCAGGGCGGUGCUUCCCUGCCCCAGCCUAGCAAUUAAGGGCAUCGCCGCUGUGAUUCUACAUGAACACAGUUCACUCCGCUGUACCUGGGCUGGGCCGGAGGCCCUGGCUGCUGGCAGUGGCUGCACCAGUGACCGCUACAGUGGCCGGGUGCCGCUGGCUGCUCUCUUCUAGUCCAGACCUGCGGUUACUGCCACAGGCCUCAGCAGGGCCUGGUGACGAGCUCUGCACAGCCGGCCGGGAAGUGUCACUUUCCCGGAUGAGGAGAGGAAACAUGUUUCUUGCAAAUGGGCUGUGCGCUUGUGGAAGAGCUCCUCUGCACUGCGCUUCCUCCGCUCCCAAGGGCCCCAUCAAAAUGGGGCUGGGGUAACAGCAGCCCCAGACAGCCCACCCUGCAACAACCAGGAGAAGAACGCGCCCGAAAGGGAAGCGGGAGGACACGACACCGCAGGCUGCUUGUGGUGGGAUGAUGGACCAUGCGGGCUGGAUCACUAAAGGCGCACAUUAGCCCAAGCGGAGCCUCUGACACACUCAGGGAGGUCAGAACCAGGAGAGGAGAAAAGCCGGAGUGUCCACAGUGACCGUCAGGAAGAGGGGCUGCGAGGCACCCUUGUGAUGCUGUCCCCAGGCUCUCUGGGCCUCUGUGGAUUGCGACAUCACCUCAUGAUUCUCUAGUGCAACCGAUAAGCACAGGUGAGGGCUGGCUCUGUGAGGCUCCAGGGAGCAGAGUCUGCAGAAUAGCUGGCCUUUUUUCUGGGCAGGGAAGGGCAGCCCCAGCAACGCUGGGAGAGGCUGCAGCUAGGCCUAGACAAGGACCUUCUAUAAAGCAGCACUGAUAUAAAUGCUGGCACUCAGAAAACUUCUGAGGGGCCAGUCCUAGAAAGCAGUCUCUAGACAGAGAUGUGGGAUGUGGCUGCCCUGUGCCAACCUCGCCACGCGGCCUCUAGAUGGAGAGGUGGGAUGUGGCUGCCCUGUGCCGAACUCGCCACGCGGCCUCUGGAGGGAGAGGUGGGAUGUGGCUGCCCCACGCUGGCCUCGCCACGCGGCCUCUAGAUGGAGAGGUGGGAUGUGGCUGCCCCACGCUGGCCUCGCCACGCGGCCUCUAGAUGGAGAGGUGGGAUGUGGCUGCCCCAUACUGGCCUCGCCACGUGGCCUCUAGAGAGAGAGGUGGGAUGUGGCUGCCCCACGCUGACCUCGCCACGUGGCCUCUAGAUGGAGAGGUGGGAUGUGGCUGCCCCAUACUGGCCUCGCCACGCGGCCUCUAGAUGGAGAGGUGGGAUGUGGCUGCCCCACGCUGGCCUCGCCACGCGGCCUCUAGAUGGAGAGGUGGGAUGUGGCUGCCCCACGCCGGCCUUGCCACAUGCCCCUCCCUGCACCUGUCCUCGCCUGCUCAUCCCUCCUGGCUCCUCUCUGUGCUCUGGCUCUGGUCUUUGACCACGGACUCCAAUGUGAUGUCACUGUCUUUAACUCUGCGCAGCUGAGCACAUCAGAUAGGAGGUGCUUUUACAUCUGGAGAAAACAUACGCUAGAAGGAAAAAGGUUUCCAUGGACUGAUUCCUGGUAAGGGAACCUGCAAGUCUGGAGGCCCUGCCCACCCCGCUCCGAGUGCUCAACCGGCUCCCAGUGCUGAACUAGUUUUUGAUCCAGGAUCUGAUGUGGCACUGACCCCUUCAGCUUUUUUUUUCUUUUUCCUUCCUCUUUUAAAAUAAAUGUAUUACAAUAACCUGUCUUAGAGGAAAUAGAGACAGGAUUUAAGGCCUUACUUUUCUUAAAGGAAUAAGGCCAUUUUGAGAAUAUACUCUUUCAAAAAUGCUCUAAGUAUUUAUUUUUAAAAAAUGUUCAUUUUAAAUAUUUAUUCUAAGUAUUGCAAAGGCUUUUCAAACACCUGUCUCUUUUACAGCUCUGUUAUUCAUGGAUUCGUGAAAAAUAAAUGUGCGGUGGUUUUAUUUACACAUUAUUUAAAUGGUUUACUUCAAUUUCCUUUUCUCCUUAUCAGGGUUCUCUAUUUUAUCUUACAGAGUCUUAAGAAGGAUACAGAUCAUGCAUGCUUUAACUUUUGCUGUUUAAAGUCCAAGUGCUAUGCUGGGUAUAAUGUAUUUUGAUCUAUCGCAUAUAAAUAUU